rnacentral:rRNA from 1 species
AUUGAACGCUGGCGGCAGGCCUAACACAUGCAAGUCGGACGAGUGGCGGACGGGUGAGUAAUGUCUGGGAAACUGCCUGAUGGCGGGGGAUAACUACUGGACACGGUAGCUAAUACCGCCUACCAUCGGAUGGACCCAGGUGGGAUUAGCUAGUAGGUGGGGUAACGGCUGACCUAGGCGACGAUCCCUAGCUGGUCUGAGAGGAUGACAAGCCACACUGGAACUGAGACACGGCCCAGACUCCUACGGGAGGCAGCAGUGUGGAAUAUUGCACAAUGGGGGCAAGCCUGAUGCAGCCAUGCCGCGUGUAUGAAGAAGGCCUUCGGGUUGUAAAGUACUUUCAGUGGGGAGGCGUUACUGACAGAAGAAGCACCGGCUAACUCCGUGCCAGCAGCCGCGGUAAUAC